rnacentral:rRNA from 1 species
GGGUGACGAGUGGCGGACGGGUGAGUAAUGUCUGGGAAACUGCCUGAUGGAGGGGGAUAACUACUGGAAACGGUAGCUAAUACCGCAUAACGUCGCAAGACCAAAGAGGGGGACCUUCGGGCCUCUUGCCAUCAGAUGUGCCCAGAUGGGAUUAGCUAGUAGGUGGGGUAACGGCUCACCUAGGCGACGAUCCCUAGCUGGUCUGAGAGGAUGACCAGCCACACUGGAACUGAGACACGGUCCAGACUCCUACGGGAGGCAGCAGUGGGGAAUAUUGCACAAUGGGCGCAAGCCUGAUGCAGCCAUGCCGCGUGUAUGAAGAAGGCCUUCGGGUUGUAAAGUACUUUCAGCGGGGAGGAAGGCGUUAAGGUUAAUAACCUUGUCGAUUGACGUUACCCGCAGAAGAAGCACCGGCUAACUCCGUGCCAGCAGCCGCGGUAAUACGGAGGGUGCAAGCGUUAAUCGGAAUUACUGGGCGUAAAGCGCACGCAGGCGGUCUGUCAAGUCGGAUGUGAAAUCCCCGGGCUCAACCUGGGAACUGCAUUCGAAACUGGCAGGCUAGAGUCUUGUAGAGGGGGG